CAGGGAUUGCCCUAGUAACGGCGAGUGAAGCGGCAACAGCUCAAAUUUGAAAUCUGGCUCUUUUAGAGUCCGAGUUGUAAUUUGCAGAGGGCGCUUUGGCUUUGGCAGCGGUCCAAGUUCCUUGGAACAGGACGUCACAGAGGGUGAGAAUCCCGUACGUGGUCGCUGGCUAUUGCCGUGUAAAGCCCCUUCGACGAGUCGAGUUGUUUGGGAAUGCAGCUCUAAAUGGGAGGUACAUUUCUUCUAAAGCUAAAUAUUGGCCAGAGACCGAUAGCGCACAAGUAGAGUGAUCGAAAGAUGAAAAGCACUUUGGAAAGAGAGUCAAACAGCACGUGAAAUUGUUGAAAGGGAAGCGCUUGCAGCCAGACUUGCUUACAGUUGCUCAUCCGGGUUUCUACCCGGUGCACUCUUCUGUAGGCAGGCCAGCAUCAGUUUGGGCGGUAGGAUAAAGGUCUCUGUCACGUACCUCCUUUCGGGGAGGCCUUAUAGGGGAGACGACAUACUACCAGCCUGGACUGAGGUCCGCGCAUCUGCUAGGAUGCUGGCGUAAUGGCUGUAAGCGGCCCGUCUUGAAACACGGACCAAGGAGUCUAACAUCUAUGCGAGUGUUUGGGUGUCAAGCCCGAGCGCGUAAUGAAAGUGAACGGAGGUGGGAACCCGCAAGGGUGCACCAUCGACCGAUCCUGAUGUCUUCGGAAGGAUUUGAGUAAGAGCAUGGCUGUUGGGACCCGAAAGAUGGUGAACUAUGCUUGAAUAGGGUGAAAGCCAGAGGAAACUCUGGUGGAGGCUCGCAGCGGUUCUGACGUGCAAAUCGAUCGUCAAAUUUGGGCAUAGGGCGAAAAGACUAAUCGAACUAUCUAGUACCUGGGUUCCUGCCGAAGUUUCCCCUCAGGAUAGCAGUACCGUAUCAGCUUUUUUGAGGGUUAAAGCCGAAAUGAAUUAGAGGAGGCC
rnacentral:rRNA from 1 species